CUGAGUUUUUGGGGAAUCUGUUGAGUCGACUCAGACCGAGUUGGUCCCGAGUUACACCGCCAUAACAACGCCGAAGUGUUGGUGCUGGAGUUUCGGUUUUUAUCGCCACCGACCUUGAAUACCUUGUUUCGAUCUAAAGUCUGAACUCAGCCCAUAGAACAGUAGAGGAUGUAGAACUUGGACCAGACUGGGACCAGAAAGCCAACAGCCUGCUGCGUAAACAUUUUGGGUACUCCGGGUUGAAAAGUUUUCAAAUGGAAGCUCUUGGUGCUUGGUUUUCUCAGCAAGACUGUCUUGUUCUUGCAGCAACAGGGUCUGGUAUUUAUUUUCUGAUUCUUAUUCUCCCUUUUCUGUGCAUUUCUUCUUGAAUCCUUUGUACAAUGUAUAUACUGUGUCAAUGUUUUUGAGGCUUUAAUGUUUCUACGGGGAAAUCUCUGUGCUUUCAGCUACCUGCGCUUUUGACAGGGAAGGUCGUGGUCGUGAUUUCUCCAUUGAUAAGCUUGAUGCAUGACCAGUGCUUAAAGCUAUCAAAACAUGGCAUCUCUGCAUGUUUCCUUGGAUCAGGACAACCAGAUAACACCGUUGAGAAGAAAGCAAUGAACGGCAUGUAUUCCGUUGUAUACGUUUGCCUCGAAACACUGCUUAGCUUUCACUGUCUGAUGAGGUGUAUAAUGCAUACUAAUAAGUCCACUUCAGAGGCUUGCGGAGAACCGUGGAAUAGCUUUAUUUGCCAUCGAUGAAGUACAUUGUGUUUCAAAAUGGGGACAUGACUUUAGACCUGAU